GACGAACGCUGGCGGCGCGCCUAACACAUGCAAGUCGAACGGAGCUGAGAGAAGCUUGCUUUUCUUAGCUUAGUGGCGAACGGGUGAGUAACGCGUGAGUAACCUGCCCUGGAGUGGGGGACAACAGUUGGAAACGACUGCUAAUACCGCAUAAGCCCACGAUCCGGCAUCGGAUUGAGGGAAAAGGAUUUAUUCGCUUCAGGAUGGACUCGCGUCCAAUUAGCUAGUUGGUGAGGUAACGGCCCACCAAGGCGACGAUUGGUAGCCGGACUGAGAGGCUGAACGGCCACAUUGGGACUGAGACACGGCCCAGACUCCUACGGGAGGCAGCAGUGGGGGAUAUUGCACAAUGGGGGAAACCCUGAUGCAGCGACGCCGCGUGGAGGAAGAAGGUUUUCGGAUUGUAAACUCCUGUCGUUAGGGACGAUAAUGACGGUACCUAACAAGAAAGCACCGGCUAACUACGUG
rnacentral:rRNA from 1 species